ACACUUUAGCUCCGGCAGUGAGGGUCUGAGGACGGCCUAUUGCCUGUUGACCAUCGUUUACGGCUAGGACUACGGGGGCUAUCUAAUCCCGUUCGCUACCCUAUUUUUGGCACCUCAUCGUACAAGACGGACCAUGGCGCUGUUUUCGCCACCGGUGUUUCUCAAAAUAUCUAUACUUUUCACCGUUCCACAUGGAGUUCAACUCACCCCUUCCGUCCUCAUCCUCGCCUUUAUCAGGCGUUCUUCCGCGGAUGAGCGGGGGUUUUCAACCCCUGUGUGAGCGAGCCUACUACGUGCUCUUUAUGCCCAAUAAAUACUAACUACCCUUGCGCCCUCCGU
rnacentral:rRNA from 1 species